ensembl:lncRNA
AUGCUUGACCAUAAGACUCUCACCCUGGAAAUGGAGGGAAUCAACAGGUUGGCUACACCCCUACUGCGGCGAAAGGACAUGCCUUUGUUGAAUGCACCUAAAGAAUCAGUCCUACCUACCCUUCGCAGUGUGGAGAGGCGUCUGCUGAAGGAGCCUGUCAAAGCUGAGGUCUAUAAAGAGGAGAUGAGGAAACUUAUUGAGACAGGAGCUGUUAGGAAGGUGACUGACAAUAUACCUGAUUCAGAUGAAUGCUGGUACAUCCCCCACCAUCUCGUUAGUCACAAUGGGAAGUUCCGCCUUGUCUUUAACUGCUCCUAUCAGUAUCAAGGACAAAGCCUUAAUCAGUACCUGCUGCCAGGCCCCACCCUUGGGGCCUCACUGUUGGGCGUCCUUAUCCGUUUCAGAGAACAUCCUGUGGCAGUGAGUGGGGAUAUUAAGGCGAUGUUCCAUCAGGUUCGCCUUAUACCUGAGGACCGUCCUCUACUCCGUUUCCUUUGGCGGGACCUAAAGAUGGAUGAGGCACCCACAAUUCUUGAGUGGCAGGUAUUACCCUUCGGCACAACAUCCAGUCCUUGUUGUGCUACCUAUGCACUACAGCGUCACGUGCGGCAACACCCCCUGACGGAUGAGGCAAUUAGAUUCUCAGUGGAGAGGUGUUUCUAUGUCGAUAACUGCCUGCAGAGCCUGCCUACUGCAGAUGAAGCUCGGGACUUGAUUGAUCGACUACGGAAUAUCCUUUCCGGAGCUGGAUUCGAAAUUCGCCAAUGGGCCUGCAAUGAUCCUACUGUGCUGAGUCACCUACCUUCCCAUGCACAAGCUGCAAGUGUGGAGUUGUGGUUGACGCAGGAGAAGUCUGACAUCCCUGAAUCGACACUGGGUCUUAGCUGGAACUGGCAGACGGACACUUUGUCCUACAAACACCGACCUGUGAUCUAUGAGACUCCAACUUUGAGGAACCUCUACAAGGUCCUAGCUACCCAGUACGACCCCCUGGGAUGGCUUCUACCUUAUUCCACUCGGGCAAAAGUCAUUAUUAAGCAGCUGUGGAACAAGCCGAGAGGAUGGGAUGACCCCAACCUACCACCUGAGCUCCUCCAGUCCUGGAAUGCAUGGGAGGACGAACUCCAAUACCUUCCUUGCAUCUCCUUUCCCCGGUCUUAUGUUCCUCCUGAAGUUGUGAGGGACGGAGUCACCCAUGAGGUACAUAUCUUCUCGGAUGCCUCUGAGCAGGCAUAUGGAGCGGUGGCCUACCUCCGGACUACUGACCAGGAUGGUCGGACCUACCUGUCCUUCAUUAUAGCACGCUCUCGUGUCACUCCUAAACGAGCUCACUCCAUUCCAAGACUGGAACUCUGUGGUAGUCUAGUUGCGGCACAGCUGGCUAAACUACUGGAGACAGAGUUAACCCUACCAAUCAAAUCUAUUUCCCUGUGGACAGACUCUACUACGGUCCUCCAGUGGUUGAAUUCUGACUCCUGCCGUUAUAGAGUCUUUGUGGGGAACAGAAUCGCUGAGAUCCAGGAGCUGACGGAGAAGUGUUCCUGGCAUCAUGUAAGUUCUGCAGACAACCCCGCUGAUGACCUCACGAAGGGAAGACCUCUCCAAUACCUUGCUGUGCCAAACCGAUGGUCUCAAGGACCCCCUUUCCUCCUCCAAGAUCCCAAGGAAUGGCCAGUAAUCCCUAAGACUGAAACCAGGGAAGACCAGGUUGAAUUACGGAAAUCUACCUUCUGUGGGAUCAGUACCUUUCCGCUCUCAUCUGGUAAGAUUAAUGGAUGGAAUUACAACACCUGGCAAGAACUAUUGGAUGUCACUGCUCAAGAAUUUUGGGUCAACUUGGCUCCAGGGACUUCUCCAGAGGCUGAGGAUUACCACCAGGCUGAGUUCCAUAUCCUCAAACAGGUUCAGCAGGAAUCUUUCCCUGAGGAUUAUAAACUGUUAGAGACUGGGAAGACAGUUAAGUCCGGGAGUCGAUUAGUUACCCUAGCCCCUGAAAUGGAUCCGUCCAGUGAUCUGAUAAGGGUGGGAGGUCGUUUGCGGAGAACUGCAGGCAUUGAGGACUCCAUUUUACAUCCUCUGGUUCUGGAUCCUAACCACCCUGUCACUCGUUUGAUUAUUCAGCAUUAUGAUGACCAGUUGCAUCAUCCUGGAUCAGAACGGUUGUUUGGGGAAAUACGGAGAUACUAUUGGAUUCUCCGAGGCCGCGAAGCUGUUCGCCGGUUUCAAUGUGACUGCCCAGAAUGUCAACGUUGGAGGGCCCAACCAACAAUCCCUAAGAUGUCGGAUCUACCUGUGGCACGCCUUCAGCUAUACAAACCUGCCUUCUAUUCUUGCGGAAUGGACUGCUUUGGCCCCCUGUUAGUCAAAAUUGGAAGACGUACAGAGAAGCGCUGUCCAUUUAGACCUACUCCCUAG